UAAUUGAUGCAAUAUAAGCUUUGUUUUUAUUUCAGUGUUUUUACAUUUUACAAUGUCAUGUUUAAAAGCAUUUUACUACAUUAUAUUUCAAUCCACCUACAUUUUACAUUAAAAUAGAAACACAACUUUAUUAAAAUCAAUCAGGUCUACAUAAUAUUAUAUAAAGUCAAGUCUAACAAGUAAAUUAUUAUGAAACAGUUUGAUAGAUAGGGCAACCGAUAGCUCCAAUUUAAGUCUUGUUGUGUAUUCAAUGAGUACGACAAAGAAAAGCUUUUCUUUUGGUUAACACAGUGAUGGAUUUACCUAUAAGCUACAACCCUCCACUUGUUUGGGAACCCCACCAAAUGGUUGUAAGGAUAUGUUCAAUAAUUUCGAAGAAAGAUUUAAAAAAAAAGAAAAAUUGCUGUAUGUUGUUUACAAGGGACCCUCAUAUCUUAAAUAGCUUAGGACCUUAUCAAGUCUAAAUCUGGUCCUGGGUAAAUAUUCUAGUAUAUAUUACGCUGAGUUGAACCAGCCCGUAAAUUUGAGAAAAACAUCUCCCCCCCCCCCCUUUUUUUUUC